AACGACUCUCGGCAACGGAUAUCUCGGCUCUCGCAUCGAUGAAGAACGUAGCGAAAUGCGAUACUUGGUGUGAAUUGCAGAAUCCCGUGAACCAUCGAGUCUUUGAACGCAAGUUGCGCCCGAAGCCUCGGCUAAGGGCACGUCUGCCUGGGCG
rnacentral:rRNA from 2 species